rnacentral:lncRNA from 1 species
CAGCAGCAUAAGGCGGCUGUUAGAGCAGUUCCAUUCUUCUUGGCCAACAUUUUAUGCACCAGGUUCAUUCACCAGCAGCACAUUUUCUUCCUCUUGCAAUACUCCUUCUGUCCUCAAAGGUAAACGUCAGUCAGCCUCUCCUUGGAAUUAAUGACGUGCUUCUCAGUGAGGCCCUAUAGGUCUCAAGCACCAAACAUCCGUGUGCUGAUGCCUAACUUUUGGUCUAUCUCCUCCAACAGCUUAGUCCUCUUCUCUGCCAAGACCUGUAGCCCCUCACCAUCCAUCCCAGCUGUGGUGUUCCCAGGGCCGGGGUCAUCCUCCCCUAACUUCUGGCUUAGGAGUGAGUGCCUUCCUUGUGGCUCUUCUUGUGGCCAUGGAGAUUGACUUUGGAUAUUACAAGUCCCUCUUUCUUAACAAUGACUUUCAAGAGUUUCAACCUCAAUUUGGCUGGAACUGACUGUCUAAAAGAGCAUCUCCUGAGCCAAAUGGGCCCCGAUACUUUGUAGCUGCCCAGAAUACUGUGCAGUGCCAUC